rnacentral:rRNA from 1 species
AAUGAACGUUGGCGGCGUGGAUUAGGCAUGCAAGUCGAGCGCUCAUAGCAAUAUGGGAGCGGCGAACGGCGUAGUAAUAUGUAGGAACGUACCCUCGGGUCGGGGAUAGCCAUGGGAAACUGUGGGUAAUACCCGAUAAUCUCUGCGGAGCAAAGGUGUGAUUCCGCCUGAGGAGCGGCCUACACGAUAUUAGCUAGUUGGUAGGGUAAUGGCCUACCAAGGCUACGAUGUCUAGGGGGUGUGAGAGCAUGGCCCCCCACGACCGGAACUGAGAUACUGUCCGGACACCUACGGGUGGCUGCAGUCGAGAAUCUUCCGCAAUGGACGAAAGUCUGACGGAGCGACGCCGCGUGCGGGAUGAAGGCCCUUGGGUUGUAAACCGCUGUCAGAGGGGAUGAAAUCUUCGGAGGUGCUCCUCCAAAGUUGACAGAGCCUCAAAGGAAGCACGGGCUAAGUACGUG